ACACUUCUGAAGAGUCCAAAAGUUGGACGAAACAGCUUUCCAGUGU
rnacentral:hammerhead_ribozyme from 1 species